AACGUAGGAGCCUAGCGUUAUCCGAAUUUACUGGGCGUAAAGCGCGUGCAGGCGGCUUCGUAAGUGGAUUGUGAAAUCUCCCGGCUCAACUGGGAGGGGACGGUCCAGACUGCGAGGCUGGAGGCAGGGAGAGGGAGGUGGAAUUCCCGGUGUAGUGGUGAAAUGCGUAGAGAUCGGGAGGAACACCAGUGGCGAAAGCGGCCUCCUGGCCCUGACCUGACGCUGAGACGCGAAAGCGUGGGGAGCGAACAGG
rnacentral:rRNA from 1 species